rnacentral:rRNA from 1 species
GACGUACGCUGGCGGCACGCCCUAAACACAUGCAAGUCGAACGAAGUAGCAAUACUUAGUGGCAGACGGGUGAGUAACAUGUAGGUAUCUGCCCUUUGGCCUGGAAUAACACGAGGAAACUUGUGCUAAUACCGGAUAAGUCUUUACGGAGAAAGCUUUAUGCACCAUUGGAUGAGCCUGCACUUGAUUAGUUUGUUGGUGGGGUAAUGGCCUACCAAGACUGUGAUCAAUAGCUGAUUUGAGAGGAUGAUCAGCCACAUUGGGACUGAGACACGGCCCAAACUCCUACGGGAGGCAGCAGUGGGGAAUCUUGCACAAUGGAGGAAACUCUGAUGCAGCGAUGCCGCGUGAGUGAAGAAGGCCCUUGGGUUGUAAAGCUCUUUCGUCGGGGAAGAAAAUGACUGUACCCGAAUAAGAAGGUCCGGCUAACUUCGUGCCAGCAGCCGCGGUAAUACGAAGGGACCUAGCGUAGUUCGGAAUUACUGGGCUUAAAGAGUUCGUAGGUGGUUGAAAUAGUUGGUGGUGAAAUCCCAGAGCUUAACUCUGGAACUGCCAUCAAAACUUUUCAGCUAGAGUAUGAUAGAGGAAAGCAGAAUUUCUAGUGUAGAGGUGAAAUUCGUAGAUAUUAGAAAGAAUACCAAUUGCGAAGGCAGCUUUCUGGAUCAUUACUGACACUGAGGAACGAAAGCAUGGGUAGCGAAGAGGAUUAGAUACCCUCGUAGUCCAUGCCGUAAACGAUGUGUGUUAGACGUUGGAAAUUUAUUUUCAGUGUCGCAGGGAAACCGAUAAACACACCGCCUGGGGAGUACGACCGCAAGGUUAAAACUCAAAUGAAUUGACGGGGACCCGCACAAGUAGUGGAGCAUGUGGUUUAAUUCGAAGAUACGCGCAGAACCUUACCAACACUUGACAUGUUCGUCGCGACUCUAAGAGAUUAGAGUUUUCGGUUCGGCCGGACGAAACACAGGUGCUGCAUGGCUGUCGUCAGCUCGUGUCGUGAGAUGUUGGGUUAAGUCCCGCAACGAGCGCAACCCUCACUUUUAGUUGCCAUCAUUAAGUUGGGCACUCUGAAAGAACUGCCAGUGAUAAGCUGGAGGAAGGUGGGGAUGACGUCAAGUCCUCAUGGCCCUUACGUGUUGGGCUACACACGUGCUACAAUGGUAUCUACAACAGGAAGCAAGACUGCGAAGUUAAGCAAAUCCCUAAAAGAUACCUCAGUUCGGAUUGCACUCUGCAACUCGAGUGCAUGAAGCUGGAAUUACUAGUAAUCGUGGAUCAGCGUGCCACGGUGAAUGCGUUCCCGGGUCUUGUACACACCGCCCGUCACACCAUGGGAGUUGGUUCUACCUUAAGGCAAGGUUUUAAACCCU